GACGAACGCUGGCGGCGUGCUUAACACAUGCAAGUCGAACGGGCCCGCCCUCUUUUUUGGGGGUGGGUUGAGUGGCGAACGGGUGAGUAUCACGUGAGUAACCUUCCCCCUGCUCCUGGAUAACUGCUUGAAAGGGCGGCUAAUACGGGGUGUGCCGGCUGGUCCGCAUGGGGCUGGUCGGGAUAGUUUCAUCUUCGGGUGUUUCGGUGGGGGAUGGGCUCGCGGCCUAUCAGCUUGGUGGUGGGGUGAUGGCCCACCAAGGCGGUGGCGGGUAGCCGGCCUGAGAGGGUGGGCGGCUGGACUGGGACUGGGACACGGCACAGAUGCCUGCGGGCGCCGGCAGGGGGGGGUAGGGCACAAGGGGCGGAAGCCUGAUGCCGCGGCGUCGCGUGAGGGAUGGGGGGCGUCGGGUUGGGAACCUCUUUCUCCGGUGGUGAAGGCCCUGUCCGUUGCGGCGGGGUUGACGGUAGCCGGGGAAGAAGCGCCGGCUAACUACGUG
rnacentral:rRNA from 1 species